rnacentral:snRNA from 1 species
CUACUUACCUGGCAGGAGAGAUACCAUCAUCACAAAUUAUCCAUUGCACUCCAGAUGUGCUGACCCCUAUGAUUUCCCCAAAUGUGGGAAACCCGACUUCAUAAUUUGUGGUAUUGAGGGACUGUGUUCAUGUUCUCCCCUG